rnacentral:rRNA from 1 species
AGAGUUUGAUCCUGGCUCAGGAUGAACGCUGGCGGCGUGCUUAACACAUGCAAGUCGAGCGAUGAAGUUUCCUUCGGGAAACGGAUUAGCGGCGGACGGGUGAGUAACACGUGGGUAACCUGCCUCAUAGAGUGGAAUAGCCUUCCGAAAGGAAGAUUAAUACCGCAUAACGUUGAAAGAUGGCGUCAUCAUUCAACCAAAGGAGCAAUCCGCUAUGAGAUGGACCCGCGGCGCAUUAGCUAGUUGGUGGGGUAACGGCCUACCAAGGCGACGAUGCGUAGCCGACCUGAGAGGGUGAUCGGCCACAUUGGGACUGAGACACGGCCCAGACUCCUACGGGAGGCAGCAGUGGGGAAUAUUGGGCAAUGGGGGAAACCCUGACCCAGCAACGCCGCGUGAAGGAAGAAGGCCUUCGGGUUGUAAACUUCUUUUACCAGGGACGAAGAACGUGACGGUACCUGGAGAAAAAGCAACGGCUAACUACGUGCCAGCAGCCGCGGUAAUACGUAGGUUGCAAGCGUUGUCCGGAUUUACUGGGUGUAAAGGGCGUGUAGGCGGAGGUGCAAGUUGGGAGUGAAAUCCCGGGGCUCAACCCCGGAACUGCUUUCAAAACUGUACCCCUUGAGUGUCGGAGAGGCAAGCGGAAUUCCUAGUGUAGCGGUGAAAUGCGUAGAUAUUAGGAGGAACACCAGUGGCGAAGGCGGCUUGCUGGACGAUAACUGACGUUGAGGCGCGAAAGCGUGGGGAGCAAACAGGAUUAGAUACCCUGGUAGUCCACGCUGUAAACGAUGAAUACUAGGUGUGGGAGGACUGACCCCUUUCGUGCCGCAGUUUACACAAUAAGUAUUUCACCUGGGGGAGUACGAACCGCAAGGUUGAAACUCAAAGGAUUUGACGGGGGCCCGCACAAGCAGUGGAUUAUGUGGUUUAAUUCGACGCAACGCGAAGAACCUUACCAGGAUUUGACAUCCUACUAACGAAGCAGAGAUGCAUUAGGUGCCCUUCGGGGAAAGUAGAGACAGGUGGUGCAUGGUUGUCGUCAGCUCGUGUCGUGAGAUGUUCAGUUAAGUCUGGCAACGAGCGCAACCCUCGUGAUGUGUUACUACCAUUCAGUUGAGGACUCACAUCAGACUGCCGGUGACAAACCGGAGGAAGGCGGGGAUGACGUCAAAUCAUCAUGCCCCUUAUGGCCUGGGCUACACACGUACUACAAUGGCAUCUACAGACGGAAGCGAACCUGUGAAGGUAAGCCAAUCCGAGAAAAGAUGUCCCAGUUCGGAUUGAAGUCUGCAACUCGACUUCAUGAAGUUGGAAUCGCUAGUAAUCGCGGAUCAGCAUGCCGCGGUGAAUACGUUCCCGGGCCUUGUACACACCGCCCGUCA